rnacentral:lncRNA from 1 species
GAAAAUGCUUCAUGCCUCCCUGUCUUAAAGCUUUCAUUCUUUACCAGGAAACAGGCUCAGAGAGAAGAAGGGAAUUAUGUACCUCGGUUUAGAGCCAAAGUGUCCUGCCUGCAUUCCAGCUGUUUCCAUCCAUGUCCCUGUCAACUGGCAUCUGGAACUACUCGUAGCAGCAUCCACUCAAUAUACCAGCCUGGAAGACAACGGAGCUGUCAUUCUGUUAAAAAAUUAAGAGAAGUACGCAGAACCUGCCUUUUUCUAAAUGAGAAGCUUUGGAAGCAACUGGACACUUUUGGCCAUUGCAGUCCACAGGAAGCAUCUCUGCUGACACCACGACUGAAUGGACACGUGAAUCUAGCACAUACAGUCGGAGGCCCGCAGAACCGGGAUGGUCAUGUAUCCCAGCCUAUGCCAGUUGUCCCAGCAUCAGUGUUACUAGCAUUAUCUUCCACUCUCAAAAGUGUUCCAGUUUGAACCCUAAAUGAUGUGGUCACCUCCACAGAACCGGAGCAGGGAGUGUCUUGGGUGUUCAUCUUUCCCACCAAUCUUAUCUCCUACAAGUGAGAUGGGGGUCCAGGGAGGAUCUGCCCAGGUUUAUGCUUUUGAUUUCCCCCUCCCUCUGCAGCCCUUCCCAUGCCCUCCUGUCUCCGUGAGGGAGGGAGGACCACCCGCGCAUCCUGCACGCCAGGCCCAUAUUGACGCCUGAUGCUUUUGCCUCCAUUCAGAUCUCGUCUUUCUGUGAACCUGAGGCUCAUUUCAAUUAUUCAAGGCAGGACCACAACAAGCUCUGCAUCUGCCUGCACACAAAGCCGAAAUCACAGUGCUUGGGUCGUGGGGACCCUUUUCCCUGAAAAAGAAGAAGUCAGAUCAUUUCUUAAGGUCUCUCCCAGCCUUAGAACCUGUGAUUCAUAAGAAACUGGCUGAAGCUUUUGGUUUGUCAAUAUAC